AGCCCUGGGUUUGACAUCUGACGUUAUUGAGACUCCAGCCUUGUUUAAGGAAUUUUCUAUCUGUUAUUUUAAGUUUGUCAUCAGUUUAUCAGCAUGUUUAAAUAUAAAUUAGUUCUAGUCUUACUUUUACUGAUUAUAAUGGAUUGUGUUCACAGUGACGACAUCAAUAAACGUUCUCAUGACGUUAAGAGAUUCGCAAAGGCCGCGAAAAAAACGCAAAGACCAGGCAUACAGUUUCUACAGAAUUUGAUUUGUAAAUUCUACCGUUCAUGGUGGGGAGUCACAAAAAGAUAUUGUUACUUUAGCAAAUAAUAAUGAUGGUAUGAUGUAAAAUAGGAACAUUUAUUUGUGCAACAGUUAUAUGAAUAUAGUCAUUGAACUCUUUCGACUUACAAACAGCAACCACAAAACUCACGAUAGUAGAAAUUGGACCCUUUGAUUGGUUUGUAAUUCGUAAAAUACCAUGAUUUGUAGUAGUAAACUUUAGGCCUAUAAAUCACCCAGUUUACUUUAUAAAAAUCAGUUAUUGUAUUGCUUAAGAAUGUGGUAAAUGUAUACUGUAUUACUAACAAUAAUGUCUAGACGGUAAAUUCCGCAAUAUAUACAACUUCGUUUAUUUUAUGAAAAUCCCCCAAAUGUUCCGUUUUCCCAAGUUGAUAUGAAGUCAAGCGUUCAGAGCCUUAGAAACUGUGUCUAUAAUUAAUAUAGUGUGAAACAUGACUAUCAAACGUUUGAUCCCGUAUACUAUUAUAUACAAUUUGGAUGAUGGAAAUUCUGUUCUUAUCGAGUAUAAGUAAUUUACAGCAGGCGUGAAUCACGUCUCCUAUUACUACACACUACAGUGAAUGAAUUGGAAAAUACCAUUUAUUAAUAUAUCUUAUUAAAGAUACAUUAUGUACGAUUUGGAUAAAGAGCUGAUCGCUCUUGCUAUAAUAGUUCAAAAACAGAUAUUGCAAAUUUUACUCAAAUUACUUUAUUCUGAGCCAAGUUAUCACUGCAGUUUUGACAAGAUUUGUGCAUUGCUAGGUUAUUAUCAUUAAAUUAAAUCAUUAAAUGGCCGUACCGUUCUAAUCUACUUGAAAUCAGAGCCAUCCGAUGACAUCGAGAGUUGAUUAUAGUCUUGCCAUGUUAAUAAAUGUCUAAUAAAUAAUGUAUAUAACCUUUAAGUUCCACAGAAAGACCGGCAAUAGCUCUUGAAUAAUGUAUCUUUAAUUAUGAUUAAAUAAAAUUCACUGCACAAUUAAAUAUCCCAACGAAUGAAAAUAAAACUCCUUAUAAACUUUGACA